rnacentral:rRNA from 1 species
UACAGAGGGUGCGAGCGUUGUUCGGAAUUAUUGGGCGUAAAGCGCGUGUAGGCGGUGAUGCAUGUCGGGUGUGAAAGCCCUCAGCUCAACUGAGGAAGUGCGCCCGAAACUGCAUCGCUGGAGUGCCGGAGAGGAAGGCGGAAUUCCCGGUGUAGAGGUGAAAUUCGUAGAUAUCGGGAGGAACACCAGUGGCGAAGGCGGCCUUCUGGACGGACACUGACGCUGAGACGCGAAAAGCGUGGGGUAGCAAAC